CGAGUAAACAAGGCAGUCGCGGGAAGAAUACCGCAAGGUGCUUUUCGAGGAAAGUCCGAGCUCCGCAGGGCAGGGUGCUGGGUAAUACCCAGUGAGGGUAACCUUAAGGCCAGUGCCACAGAAAAAAUACCGCCCGGCAAUUUUGCCGGGUAAGGGUGCAACGGUGCGGUAAGAGCGCACCAGGAACCGGGAGACCGGUUUGCUAGGUAAACCCCACCCGGAGCAAGACCAAAUAGGAGGGGGAUGAGGUUGCCCGCCGACUCCUCGGGUAAGGUCGCUGGAGGUGCCAGGCAACUGGCGUCCAAGAUAGAUGGCUGCCACUGUAAUUUUCGGCCAGGCCGGAAGUUAGCAGAACAGAACUCGGCUUAUUAGUUUGCUCGGUCC
rnacentral:RNase_P_RNA from 1 species